CGGAAUCGCUAGUAAUCGUGAAUCAGCCAUGUCACGGUGAAUACGUUCCCGGGUCUUGUACUCACCGCCCGUCACACCAUGGGAGUUGAUUUCACUCGAAGUGGAAA
rnacentral:rRNA from 1 species